rnacentral:rRNA from 1 species
AGAGUUUGAUCAUGGCUCAGAGUGAACGCUGGCGGCAGGCCUAAUACAUGCAAGUCGAACGGCAGCACAGCAGAGCUUGCUCUGUGGGUGGCGAGUGGCGGACGGGUGAGGAAUACGUGGGAAUCUGCCCAGUCGUGGGGGAUAACGUAGGGAAACUUACGCUAAUACCGCAUGCGCCCUUCGGGGGAAAGCCGGGGACCUUCGGGCCUGGCGCGAUUGGAUGAGCCCACGUCGGAUUAGCUAGUUGGCGGGUAAAGGCCCACCAAGGCGACGAUCCGUAGCUGGGUCUGAGAGGAUGAUCAGCCACACUGGAACUGAGACACGGUCCAGACUCCUACGGGAGGCAGCAGUAGGGAAUAUUGGACAAUGGGCGCAAGCCUGAUCCAGCCAUGCCGCGUGAGUGAAGAAGGCCCUCGGGUUGUAAAGCUCUUUUGUCCGGAAAGAAAAGCGCCGGGUUAAUACCCUGGUGUCCUGACGGUACCGGAAGAAUAAGCACCGGCUAACUUCGUG